rnacentral:rRNA from 1 species
GGACUACCGGGGUAUCUAAUCCCAUUCGCUCCCCUGGCUUUCGUUCCUCAGCGUCAGUUAUGGCCCAGUAAGUCGCCUACGCCACCGGUGUUCUUCCUGAUAUCUACGCAUUUCACCGCUACACCAGAAAUUCCACUUACCUCUACCACACUCCAGUCUGCCAGUAUCCGAUGCAGUCCCGAGGUUGAGCCCCGAUAUUUAACAUCAGACUUAACAAACCGCCUACGAACUCUUUACGCCCAAUAAAUCCGGACAACGCUUGCAUCCUACGUCUUACCGCGGCUGCUGGCAC